rnacentral:rRNA from 1 species
UUGAACGCUGGCGGCAUGCCUUACACCUGCAAGUCGAACGGCAGCACGGGGGGUAACCCCUGGUGGCGAGUGGCGAACGGGUGAGUAAUAUAUCGGAACGUGUCCUGUAGCGGGGGAUAACCUAUCGAAAGAUGGACUAAUACCGCAUACGACCUACGGGUGAAAGCGGAGGACCGCAAGGCUUCGCACUAUAGGAGCGGCCGAUAUCGGAUUAGCUAGUUGGCGGGGUAACGGCCCACCAAGGCGACGAUCCGUAGCUGGUCUGAGAGGACGAUCAGCCACACUGGAACUGAGACACGGUCCAGACUCCUACGGGAGGCAGCAGUGGGGAAUUUUGGACAAUGGGCGCAAGCCUGAUCCAGCCAUGCCGCGUGAGUGAAGAAGGCCUUCGGGUUGUAAAGCUCUUUCGGCGGGGACGAAACGGUUCGUGCUAAUACCACGGACUACUGACGGUACCCGCAGAAGAAGCACCGGCUAACUACGUG